AAAUAAACAAGGUCCCGGAUCGAGACCUGAGGCUGGAAGAGCCAUCACGCAAAUGCAGACCCCCUCGGACCUGAAAACAAAUCCCGACCUCCCCCUUCGCCUACUUCGCCGUGGCAGGACGCGAUUCCAUUGAACCCCUCCCAACCUAGGAGGUGAGGACUCCAUGCUACCCCGCAGGAGAAAAGGAAAAACAAAAAACGGCGGCGUCAGUCUAGAAUCCCAGCUUCAGGUUGCUCACCGGAUAGCUGCCUUGUGGUUCCCCGAACAUAACUUUUAAGAAAUGCAGGAAUGUCCAGUAUGCAAAGCUGGGAUGGCUUUUCUGGCAGCUCGGGGACCUGAAGCCCCUUCUGGACAAGAGUCCUUCUUCAAGCCCAGCCUCAGCAGAGCUUCUCAGAGCUGUCUCUUCUCCAAAGGAUGAGGUCAGCUUCCUGUGUGUGCUUGCGCUCUCUCUCUCUCUCUCUCUCUCUCUCUCUCUCUCUCUCUCUCUCUCUCUCUCUCUCUCUGUGUGUGUGUAAGCUGUUGGAUCACAUGUGGACUAUGUGUAAUCCAGCACACUGUGGGAUUGCAGCUCCCAAUACUAUUAAAGAAGCAACAAAAGUAACGGGCAUCAUUUUUUGAACUCAGAAUCCAUUGAUACAAUGAAACAAACGACAGUUGGGUUUGUUACUAAACUGUUACAUGAAGCUGCCCCCCCUUUUUUGUGUAAUCUUGUUUGUGCUUAGCUUUUAUUUCUGUCUCCCUGAUUACAGCCAGUGUUAAACGUCAUGUGUUUCUGUUUUACAUGGGUUACAGAGAUACAAACAGUUGGAUGAUGACAAUUUGCCCCUUAUCUUCCAGGAAAACUGUAGAGCUGACCUACUAAGAGCAGCCCUAUUAAGUGCUUCUUAGUGGGGAAGGAAAUGGACUUUUUAAGAAUCCCUCGUGACUUUUGGCUCGACCAAAUUUUAUCAUUGCUUGUAAAACCUAAGUGUCCUUCAAAAUCAAGUUUCACCCCUUAAAAUUCUCCAUCACUUCUCCCAAAUAGGGUAUUCAGUCAGACUACCCAGAUGAAGUUUGAUAUGCAAACAAUGUUUAGCAUGCAAAUUUUGCUGGGGAAAUACAAAAGAGAGAGAGAGAGAGCAGUUUUUUUUGACAUGUUUGAAUCUCUAGGAUCAAUCUCCAGUACU
rnacentral:lncRNA from 1 species